CUGAAACUUCAUAGUUUUUGUAAAUUGUCUAAAAUUCCAUCAAAAUCGGCUGAGCAGUUCUCGAGAAAUCUUGUCUUGUUUCAAAUUUUGAGUGACAAUUAAACAGGGAACAAUUUUUUUUAACUUUUCUAUCAACAAAAUUAAAAGGUCUUAGGUUAGUUGGCAGAUCUCUGCGUAUGCAGGAAGAUACAACUUGUGCUGAGCGCUGUUUUUUGUCAUAAAAAAACUCUCCUAAUGGAUGGUAAAUUCUCUUACAAUUCGGCAAUGCGCUUGGAAUUUGUUACAAAAUUUUUGAGUCGGCUAUUGUCAAUUUUAGACAAUUCGAUAGGUUCGCCGCAGGUGUGCUUCAACCUCAAUCUGGCAAAAGCUGGACGUUGGAGGAGAAAUGUUCAGAUUAUUCCACCUAGCCUUCCUCCAAACAAUUUUGGCAACUUGCAUCUGCCAAAAGCUCUUCGCAACUGGACAAGUCGUGUUUUUUGUGCAGCGCUUGGUGAGCUCUUACGAUGUCAUUAUGAAACCACAUUUCCCCAAUAGCUCCUCUACAACAGUAUAGGACUACCAAAGCCUUUCUCAUUCUCUCCACAAUGCUUGGCUUCCCCGAGUGCUUUCUAUCUAAGAUAAGCAGCAAAACUAUUACUUGGAAUUAAAUUCUAGUGCAAUAUUCUAGUGAUGCUAUACAUUUACUAAGGGUAUUUUGUAGUGUUAAAACCCGUAAGCUGAUUAAGCGCUGAAAGAUUAACUGCCGGAAAAAUCUGUUACGGAGUUCUCUAAGGAUUUUUCUCAAUUAAUGUUGCAUUUCAAAGGGCUGUUGUGAAGUCCAUUAUCUACGAUGAAUGCAAUUUGGUCGAAUACAUGAACAAAAUUGAGAGAUGUUGUCACAUUUUUUGAUUGCGCUUGGAAUAAGUUGGGACAACAGACCCUGGUGUAGUGCUGGACUAUAUUUUAUAUAUAUUUUAAACAUUGCGAAACUGAAAGACGAUGACGUUCCGUUUAGUGUUUUAAAAACAGAAGCUGUAAGAUUGACACAACAAACUUAAAUCCUGAGUAGGUUAUUUUCACAGAAAAUGAAAUAAAUAACUAGAAUAAAGGCAACUACCUAAUUGAACUACAAUUCUGAAAAUGAAUUUGAAUCUGAUGGUGAUAAUGAUCCAGAACGCAUAAGUUCAUUAUGAAACGAAGACGAGAAUGGACAUAACUUGUGAAUAUACCUUAUAUGAUACUACAAAAUCUAUCAAACAUCAUUAACACUAACUGUUACUAUUUUAAGUUGCUGGAGGAUCCUUGUCAUAUAACUCAGAUAUACACUAGUAUCGUAUUAGAAAGAAGGUGAUGAUGAAGAUGACAAACCAUAUUUACACCACAAACUUGCACUACUUAUUUAUUACACUAUACGGGAAACACGACUCUUUUUCUAGAUAUAUUCGAAAUUCGGAAAAUGGAUUUUUUUUUAAAUAUUAUUAGUAAUUUCAAGUUAUAGUUACUAAAAUAUCCAAAAUAUGCAUAUAAAAUACAUUUUUCCCUUAAUUUAAAGAAGUUUAAAACUGUUGGGUCAAGCUUAUAAGCAAAAUGCUAUGAAGGGUCUGAGUUAGAUCUUCGAAAAAAAAACUACAAAUUUUAUAUAUCAAAAAUACUGGACCCCUUAUAUCAUCUGCCAUAUUUCACCUGACUAUCAUUCACCUGGGAGUGGCUAGGAACGCUUCUUUUGCAUGUGGCUCAAGCAGCUUACGACUUCCGGUCUUAGACCAAGUAUCCUCUGGGUAGCCAACAGACAUCCGUUUGAAGGCGAGCUAAAGUGAGAAGGCGAAUACCGCUUAUGUGGUUUUGCGUAGAGUUUGGGACCCACCACAUAAAAACGAAUUACCAAUGAACAGGAAGCAACAGUCUCGGAUGAGAAAUCCCAAUUUUGAUGACGACCACUGCAAACGUAUUAAGGGCAUGCACCUGGAAUGUCCGGACGCUUAAUUGGGAAGGUGCCUCUACCCAACUGUUUGAUGUCCUGACAUCACCGCCAUCCAAGAAGUGCGGUGGACAGGACAAUGACGGAAGAAUGUGGGUCCGUCGCCGAGUCCUGGCCUUUACCCCGGUGGAUGAACGUCUAGCCACAAUCCACAUAGAAGCGAGGUUCUUCAACAUAUCGCUGAUUUGCGCCCACACCCCAACGGAAGAGAAGGACGAUGUGACCAAAGAUACGAUGUCAAAAUCGUUCUUGACGAUUUCAACGCUAGGGUGGGUAAAGAAGGUGUCUUUGGCACAACAGUCGGAAAAUUAAGCCUCCAUGAUGAAACAUCGCCAAAUGGGCUGAGACUGAUUGACUUCGCCAGGGCCCGAGGUAUGGUCGUCUGUAGUACUAGAUUCCAGCAUAAGGAAAUUCAUCAAGCUACUUGGCAGUCCCCCGAUCGAAUCACGCGCAACCAGAUCGAUCAUGUUGUGAUAGAUGGACGACAUGUCUUACAUAUCGACAUGUCAUAAGCGGUGUCUACGCAAGUCAAGAAGAAGAAGAUAUCAUGUAACUUCGAAUGUAUUCUCCUUUUUUACUUAUGGACAAAAUUUCCUGGAAAAAUUUCAUUUGAUCCAAUACCCAGCCGAUUUUUGUACAGUGUUGUGAAGCCAACACUGUGAUGUGCCCGGAACAUUUUGUGAUGUUGUGAAAUAGUAGGAUCCUGCUAGGCACAUGUCUCCUUGAAAAAAUAUUUAUAUACACAAACUCAACAGGAAUAUGAUCCACGGAUUGAAAAUUUUACAAGAAAUUCGUAUAAAUUCACAUAUUUUACUUUAAUGACGCUUUGGACGAGCGUCUAAACUCUUUGCUCUAUUAAAUCCGUUUGCCACCGUGUUUCUUUGCUUGCCAUCAUGCAUGAAUGUUUGACUUCAAUUAAGUAACACACUCACUAAUUCAGGUUUAUCAAAACAACAACAACUACUACUAUUAACAUAUUGAACUAGUGUCAGUCGUAACGCAUAAUUCCGCAAUAAAUGCAACAACAACGCUGGCAUAGCUAAGCAGUAGAGAUGUUAAAAUUAGACAAAAACCAACAAACAACAAAAACACUAAAGAUUAACGAACAGGCUGCCGCCGCACGAAUACCAAUACACAAGAAAGCAGUGAAAGACUAUGAAUAUGGUGAUAGCACAGCUGAUGUUGGACGCGUUGAACGCACUUGUUGCUGAUUAUAUAUGUGUAUUUACAAAUGUGUGUAUGUUGUAAUGCGAAUGAUGAUAAACAUGAAGAAGACGAUGAUUCGUGAUUGGUAUGUGGUAUAUCGGCUUUUGAAAUGUCUCUUAAUAUUGUAGUUGUUGCAAUGUCAUUUAACUAUUUCGUUUUAUUUGGAAUUGUUGCAGUUUUAUAACUUUGUUGUUAUCUCUCCGUUAGCCAACAACAUUAAUGUAAAGCUUAUGUAUGUAGACUCUUUAUGCGGCUAUUCGCCAAGACCAACUUUUGACGAUUAUCAAGUUUUACACGCUGUUGUUGUUGUUGCAGCUAAAGAUUACAUGUUUAAGAUAAUGCUGGCAUUUGUAAUGUAUGUAAAUGAGGAAACGCUUCCGCCGCACACUGGCUGCACAGCAAAGCAAAGAAAUGCGAAGAAACCAAAUGAAGAAAUGGAAUAUUUGAAAAAUUUUCAAAUUUUUAAUUUAACAGAAAAUUGUCGACCCUUGAGCGCCCAAAUAUUGCGCAAAUAUUUGCUAUUCCCUUAAACGAUGCAUGCACAUUCCCACCAAACGUAAAGCACAUGUGCACCGGUUAUGAGGUUUGCCUGUAGCGCACGCUGUCGUUUCCUUUGCAUUUCCUAUAUAGUUUUUGACAA